CCUACGGGUGGCAGCAGUGAGGAAUAUUGGUCAAUGGGCGCGAGCCUGAACCAGCCAAGUCGCGUGAGGGAUGACGGCCCUGCGGAUUGUAAACUUCUUUUGUCAGGGCACAAAGUGCGGCACGUGUGCCUUUUUGAGUGUACCUUAUGAAAAAGCCUCGGCUAACUCCGUGCCAGCAGCCGCGGUAAUACGGAGGAUGCGAGCGUUAUCCGGAUUUAUUGGGUUUAAAGGGUGCGUAGGUGGGCUGGUAAGGCAGGUGUGAAAGGCCGGGGCUCAACCGCGGCCCUGCCGUUGAAACUGGCAGGCUGGAGUUGGGGAGAGGUAGGCGGAAUUCGCGGUGUAGCGGUGAAAUGCAUAGAUAUCGCGAAGAACUCCGAUUGCGAAGGCAGCGUACCGGACAGAAACUGACGCUGAGGCGCGAAAGCGUGGGUAUCAAACAGGAUUAGAUACCCGUGUAGUC
rnacentral:rRNA from 1 species